ACUGUCGCGCUGUUCUCGGACCAAACUGAGAGUGGGGCGGCUAUUUCUCGGGGCCCAAUGACGAGAUGCAGAUGAACUGAGGAGGAAGAGCGUUUUUAUUUUCUGCAACUGGUUACAGGGAGAAAGGCCUGGAAAUGAUCACCGGACCAACUCAAAAUUACAGUUUUCCAGAACUUACAUACCUUCUAAGCGGUAUGUCUACGUGUAAGUGUGCAUGCAUCUGAAGACAUUAGUGAUGAACUUACGGUCAUCUGUGAGUCCUGAAGACCUUCCUCUGGAGCCUCAAUAAGGUUACUGAAUCUAAAUGGGUCCAGAUGCUGGGGGGAUUACCUUUAUCUUGUCUCCUGCUAAAUCAGGAGGUUUGGGGAGUGCCUUCAGACCCUCAAUAAACUUGUUUCUGGAGGCGUGGGGAGCUUCUUCAGACCCACAAAAAAACUCGUUUAACCCUAAAAGGGUCCUGAUAAGAAUUAAUUUGUUAUUUUGUCCUGCUUUAAGGCCCAGGGAAGGCCUAGGCAAAACUCUCGGUGGGCUCUUUGUUACUUUCCAGCCUUUGUAUAAGGGCACUGGCUCUAUCAGCUUUUAAUGUUUAAUCUAGCUACUCAGUCAGUGCUGGGACAGUUGUAAUGGAGGCCUGCGUUAGUGAGACCUGGCCUGCCACACUGCCACCGAGACAGGGAUCCCGGGAGUCUAGGCCUGGCACGCUCCAAGUCCCUUACCUCCUGCACUCCUCUUGUCUGGGCCCUGCCUUUGCUCCUGGGGGUCCUGGUGCCGGGUCAGCCCCGCCAGCUCCUGGUCCCAGGCCUGGCUCAAGGGUGGCCCAGGGAACUGCCAGGCCUGCUUGGCCUGUCACCCAUACUGGGCCUGACCACCAGCUGGGUCCCUAGAUCAGGCUGUGGCUCUGCUCCCCCUUCCAAAGGGAGCCCUUUCUGUCUUUGGACCAGAAGGUAACCUGAUCUCUUCUUGGCCAACCUGAGAAAUGCUGGAAUUUCUCCAUUUCAGAUCCAGCCUCCAGGCCUUGCUCAAGGUCAGGCUUGGCUGGGUUGCUGGGGCCUCUCCAGGCAGGGAGGCCCCCAGGCUCAAGGGCAGGUGAAGGGGACACCUGCCAGGGAACUUCAGACUGAGG
rnacentral:lncRNA from 10 species